AUGAACGCUAGCGACAGGCUUAACACAUGCAAGUCGAGGGGCAGCACAGGUAGCAAUACCGGGUGGCGACCGGCGCACGGGUGAGUAACGCGUAUGCAACUUACCUAUCAGAGGGGGAUAACCCGGCGAAGGUCGGACUAAUACCGCAUGAAGCAGGGGCCCCGCAUGGGGAUAUUUGCUAAAGAUUCAUCGCUGAUAGAUAGGCAUGCGUUCCAUUAGGCAGUUGGCGGGGUAACGGCCCACCAAACCGACGAUGGAUAGGGGUUCUGAGAGGAAGGUCCCCCACAUUGGUACUGAGACACGGACCAAACUCCUACGGGAGGCAGCAGUGAGGAAUAUUGGUCAAUGGCCGAGAGGCUGAACCAGCCAAGUCGCGUGAGGGAUGAAGGUUCUAUGGAUCGUAAACCUCUUUUAUAAGGGAAUAAAGUGCGGGACGUGUCCCGUUUUGUAUGUACCUUAUGAAUAAGGAUCGGCUAACUCCGUGCCAGCAGCCGCGGUAAUACGGAGGAUCCGAGCGUUAUCCGGAUUUAUUGGGUUUAAAGGGUGCGUAGGCGGCCUUUUAAGUCAGCGGUGAAAGUCUGUGGCUCAACCAUAGAAUUGCCGUUGAAACUGGGGGGCUUGAGUAUGUUUGAGGCAGGCGGAAUGCGUGGUGUAGCGGUGAAAUGCAUAGAUAUCACGCAGAACCCCGAUUGCGAAGGCAGCCUGCCAAGCCAUGACUGACGCUGAUGCACGAAAGCGUGGGGAUCAAACAGGAUUAGAUACCCUGGUAGUCCACGCAGUAAACGAUGAUCACUAGCUGUUUGCGAUACACUGUAAGCGGCACAGCGAAAGCGUUAAGUGAUCCACCUGGGGAGUACGCCGGCAACGGUGAAACUCAAAGGAAUUGACGGGGGCCCGCACAAGCGGAGGAACAUGUGGUUUAAUUCGAUGAUACGCGAGGAACCUUACCCGGGUUUGAACGCAUUCGGACCGAGGUGGAAACACCUUUUCUAGCAAUAGCCGUUUGCGAGGUGCUGCAUGGUUGUCGUCAGCUCGUGCCGUGAGGUGUCGGCUUAAGUGCCAUAACGAGCGCAACCCUUGCCACUAGUUACUAACAGGUAAAGCUGAGGACUCUGGUGGGACUGCCAGCGUAAGCUGCGAGGAAGGCGGGGAUGACGUCAAAUCAGCACGGCCCUUACAUCCGGGGCGACACACGUGUUACAAUGGCGUGGACAAAGGGAAGCCACCUGGCGACAGGGAGCGAAUCCCCAAACCACGUCUCAGUUCGGAUCGGAGUCUGCAACCCGACUCCGUGAAGCUGGAUUCGCUAGUAAUCGCGCAUCAGCCAUGGCGCGGUGAAUACGUUCCCGGGCCUUGUACACACCGCCCGUCAAGCCAUGGGAGCCGGGGGUACCUGAAGUCCGUAACCGAAAGGAUCGGCCUAGGGUAAAACUGGUGACUGGGGCU
rnacentral:rRNA from 1 species